rnacentral:misc_RNA from 1 species
UCGGUUACUCUUGCAAGGAUUGGAGUUCCACAGGCAGCGGGAGCAUGUUUCUCUUUGUAUACGAGUUGUCCUCUUACAAAAGUGGCCAAAACUUUUCCAGAAAGUUCCAUUCCCAUAUAGGCUGAAAUGCUGGGAUGUUUCAAGUAUACAGGAAAUUUGUCAUUGACGUCGUACUCCUCAUCUGGUGCCUAAGCUGUGUAGUUG